rnacentral:rRNA from 1 species
AGAAUCAACGCUGGCGGCGUGCCUAACACAUGCAAGUCGAACGAGAAAGGGGUAGCAAUACCCUGAGUAAAGUGGCGCACGGGUGAGUAACACGUGACUAACCUACCCUGGAGUGGGGGAUAACUGAGGGAAACCUUAGCUAAUACCGCAUAACACCUACGGGUCAAAGGAGCAAUUCGCUUCAGGAGGGGUCGCGGCAGAUUAGCUAGUUGGCGGGGUAAUGGCCCACCAAGGCAGUGAUCUGUA